AGCGGGCAUCUGCCGCUUUUGUUUGCUGUGGUCUCUCAGCGCGACAGGGGGAGCGUACAAUGAAGAAGACAGUCGAGGAUCGCUCUUUGGAGUUUCUCAUUCGCCGCGGCAAUGACGCCGAACUGCCACCGCUGGCGUCUCUGAGCUGCAAAGACUUCAAGCAGCACCACUGGCGCGAUGCCUUCGAUGACGAGCAAGCUGCUCUUCGAGAGCAGUUGUGGGCCGUGAAGACGCAGCUGGACGUCAUCCCGGCGGAAACGUACACGGCUACCCGCAAUAAACUCUUUCCGCUGGCUGUCAGCGGGGAGCAGCGGAACUUCUCGAACCGCGCAGGACACAAGCUGCUUGAGUCGAUGGAGUCCACUGGGGUCUGGAUGGAGCUUUCGAAGCUGUUGCGUGGCAAGUCGAAGAAGCGGCCGCGCGAUUUUGCGUUUGCGGAUGUGUGCGGCGGCCCCGGCGCCUUCAGCCAGGCGUUGUUCCAAGCCGGCCGAAAGCAGGGGUGGCGGCAGCUGCACGGAUACGGCAUGACACUCGCUGGCGUGAGCGGACUCGAUUGGUACGCUCACCUUCUCAAAUCGCCGCAGUUUACCUGCACCUACGGCCUUGAUGGCACGGGCGACAUCUUCAAACUGAGCAACAUUGAGUGUCUCGUGUCCAUCACCAAGGCUGCUCCGAUGCUUCUCGUCGUGGCCGACGGCGGCUUCAACGUCGACUUCUCCGUCGCCAACUACCAGGAAACCAUCUCAUCUCGCAUCAUGUACGGGCAGUGGCUCGCGGCCCUCAAACUACUACGCAACGGCGGCUGUUUUGUGCUGAAGCUCUUCGACACGUUUUCACCGCUGUCGCGGGCUGUCUUGUACCUGUCGUGCUGUAUGUACCGGCGCGUCCACAUCGCAAAACCGCGCCACAGUCGUGUUGUGAACAGCGAGCGGUACUUGGUCUGUGUCGACUUUCUGGGCUCCCCGAGCGAGGGGUGGAGUCGGUAUCUUGACUGCUUCUACGAGGUAGGGUUUGUGGACAACGAGCACGUGCCAGAGCUGAUUCCGCGAGAGUGGUGCCUGCAGGAUGCCGUUUUCAUGGCCGACGUGCGUGAAAUGAACACAGCCGUGGCGACGAACCAAGUGAUUGCGCUGCAAAUGAUCCUCGACGCUGCCCCCGCCAUGGCCGAGGAGCUCAAGGCAAAAAGGAUCGAAAAGAAGCCGGCGGCGGGGUCUGACGACGGCCGUACACCUCCACCAGCUGAAGGCGAAGACGUUGAGUGAGUCAUGCCCCUCCAAAGACGUCAAGAUACACCGGCAGUGGUGAUGCCGGCUGCUCACAUUUUUUUUUUCGCUUGCUCAUCCCGUGACGACGGGGAACACCUCGGUAUGCGGCAUCUCAGGGUCCAGCGCCUCAUUUGUGGGCCAGCCCUGCAGACCCCCUCCCCCUCCCCCCGUAUGUCCCCGCGAACGCACAGCUGCAUGUGGUGGUGGCAGGCUCAAAAGUACCCCCACGACGUGGGGGUGGAGGUGAGAGCGAUUCAGCGGUGCUGAUAUGUCGGCGUUGAUGCCGUGGAUGGCGCUGCGUCGCAGCGAGCUGCGAUCGUGGGCACGCUUGUGCCAUGCCUAGGAUAGAAGGCAAGCGUGCCCGCGUGGCUCGCACGUACCUCCUUGGGCCGCCUCACUGGCCGCUGGUGUGAUGGGAGCCUGAGCUACCCCCCAGACAGAGUGAGUGAGAGAGGGGUGCGCCAGGUGGCGACCAGCACAGCGGGAGCGACCCGUGAGGCGACCUGGGGGGUGGGUGGGUGGGUGGGCGGGCUUGGGGCUGAGGCAGAGACCGUGCUCGGGUGGCCGCGUCGGCGCAGGGUGCUGUGUGGGGCGCCCGUGUGUCUAGCGCUGCUCGGCACCACGCGAUGGGCCUGUGGCAGGGCGGCUGUAGCGUGGAGGGGAACUCAUGUUGCGUGCCGGAGCAUGGACGCGCUGAAAAGCUGGAAAGCAUCUCGCCUUGCCCCGCGCGCACGAAUCAUCUUCUUCACAGAUGACUUAGCCGUCACUAAAGCUCGGUAUUUGUGUGUAGGGCGGGCGCCCAAACAAGCAAGUAGCCCAAGCACGCACAUGACAACUAGGUGACCCCGCGUGCCAGAGUACCGUCCGCCAUAUGCGUACACCCCCUGCAGAAUAAAAGGCUAG
rnacentral:misc_RNA from 1 species